rnacentral:rRNA from 1 species
CCUACGGGAGGCAGCAGUGGGGAAUAUUGGGCAAUGGGCGCAAGCCUGACCCAGCAACGCCGCGUGAAGGAAGAAGGCCCUCGGGUUGUAAACUUCUUUUGUCAGGGACGAAACAAAUGACGGUACCUGACGAAUAAGCCACGGCUAACUUCGUGCCAGCAGCCGCGGUAAUACGUAGGUGGCAAGCGGUAUCCGGAUUUACUGGGUGUAAAGGGCGUGUAGGCGGGAGAGCAAGUCAGAUGUGAAAUUCCAGGGCUCAACACUGGAACUGCAGUUGAUACUGUUUUUCUUGAGUGAUGGAGAGGCAGGCGGAAUUCCGUGUGUAGCGGUGAAAUGCGUAGAUAUACGGAGGAACACCAGUGGCGAAGGCGGCCUGCUGGACAUUAACUGACGCUGAGGCGCGAAAGCGUGGGGAGCAAACAGGAGUAGAUACCCCUGUAGUC